CAUUGUGCAUCAAGCUGGAAUGUUGAAGCGAAAUUGUUUUGCCUCUGUCUUUGAAAAGUACUUCCAAUUCCAAGAAGAGGGCAAGGAAGGAGAGAACAGAGCAGUUAUCCAUUAUAGGGAUGAUGAGACCAUGUAUGUUGAGUCUAAAAAGGACAGAGUCACGGUAGUCUUCAGCACAGUGUUUAAGGAUGACGACGAUGUGGUCAUUGGAAAGGUGUUCAUGCAGGUAUGGAGCAGACAUCUUGGGGGAAAACCAUGCAUGGCGACUUACAUCUUUGCACCCAAACAUACCAUGAGUGUAGGA
rnacentral:sRNA from 1 species